AGAGUUUGAUCAUGGCUCAGGAUGAACGCUAGCGGCAGGCUUAACACAUGCAAGUCGAGGGGUAACAGGGGAUAGUUUACUAUUUUGCUGACGACCGGCGCACGGGUGAGUAACGCGUAUACAAUUUGCCUUUGACAGGAGGAUAGCCCAGAGAAAUUUGGAUUAAUACUCCAUGGUAUUACGAGAUCGCAUGGUUUUGUAAUUAAAGUUUCGGCGGUAGAAGAUGAGUAUGCGUCCUAUUAGCUAGUUGGUAAGGUAACGGCUUACCAAGGCGACGAUAGGUAGGGGUCCUGAGAGGGAGAUCCCCCACACUGGUACUGAGACACGGACCAGACUCCUACGGGAGGCAGCAGUGAGGAAUAUUGGUCAAUGGAGGCAACUCUGAACCAGCCAUGCCGCGUGCAGGAAGACUGCCCUAUGGGUUGUAAACUGCUUUUAUACAGGAAGAAACUUAUCCACGUGUGGAUAACUGACGGUACUGUACGAAUAAGGACCGGCUAACUCCGUGCCAGCAGCCGCGGUAAUACGGAGGGUCCAAGCGUUAUCCGGAAUCAUUGGGUUUAAAGGGUCCGUAGGCGGGCGAUUAAGUCAGAGGUGAAAUCCCACAGCUCAACUGUGGAACUGCCUUUGAUACUGGUUGUCUUGAGUUACAGUGAAGUAGAUAGAAUAUGUAGUGUAGCGGUGAAAUGCAUAGAUAUUACAUAGAAUACCGAUUGCGAAGGCAGUCUACUAACUGUUAACUGACGCUGAGGGACGAAAGCGUGGGGAGCGAACAGGAUUAGAUACCCUGGUAGUCCACGCCGUAAACGAUGGUCACUAGUUGUUGGGGCUUUAUGCCUCAGUGAUUAAGCGAAAGUGAUAAGUGACCCACCUGGGGAGUACGAUCGCAAGAUUGAAACUCAAAGGAAUUGACGG
rnacentral:rRNA from 1 species